rnacentral:rRNA from 1 species
CCCUUAGAUGUUCUGGGCCGCACGCGCGCUACACUGAUGCAUUCAACGAGCCUAUCCUUGACCGACAGGUCCGGGUAAUCUUUGAAUCUGCAUCGUGACGGGGAUAGAUUAUUGCAAUUAUUAAUCUUCAACGAGGAAUUCCUAGUAAACGCAAGUCAUCAGCUUGCAUUGAUUACGUCCCUGCCCUUUGUACACACCGCCCGUCGCACCUACCGAUUGAAUGGUCCGGUGAAGGCUCCGGAGGCGUCUUUCUCAAUGUUUAUUCGGCGAGAUUGGUGCCAAAGUUGAAUGAACCUUACCAUUUAGAGGAAGGUGAAGUCGUAACA